UCUCCCCCCCAAAAACUAUCUUAAUAACUAUUUGUUGCUGCUCCUCUUCGAUAAGGAGUGGCGGAAGUAGCUAGAGUAACUUGGCUGGAUGAUUCAAAUCGAGGGCCACACAUCACUGGAGUAGGCAAGCAUCGAUCGGUCUCAGGCACCUGCAAAAGAAGUUUGACCAUUGGAGAACAAAGUGGGGGUGCUCUAAUGGGGGACCCUCGGAUGGUUAAGUCAAUGGCAGUUAGAGAGAGAGAACAGUACAGAAAAAAGAUGGGAACAAGAGUCCUAAGUGGAGAGUAGGAAGAAGCCUCUCCCUGUCUUUCCUUUUGUCUCCC
rnacentral:lncRNA from 1 species